CGAGCAGAGGGAAGAACCCUGAAUGCAUCAGCCGUGAGACUGGCCGCAGACCUAGGAGGGAAGGAUGCGUCGAAGAAGUGAACCGAUGACUGGCAGUGGCACUAUUGAGAGGGCUUCAGUUUUUUUGAUCACGGUGCACACUUCAAGGAGAGACAACUCCUGGGAAGGGACGGCUUCCACCUCAUGCAGAGAGAUAAUCUGGCACGGGCCAUUGAGCUUCUUGAAGGACCAAAACCUUGAACCCAACUCCGAAUUCUAAGGAAAACCAGGGCAGAGAGCAGAGGACAGCUUUGACAGGAAAUGUGGAGAAUAAGAACCAAAGAGAAAUGAGCCAUAAAAAAAACGGGGAGCGAUAACAUGUAAGAAUACAAGAUAUCAGAAUUAAAGAAUGACGGAGAAAGUAUCAUGCUAAAGUAGGAAACCACCAUCACACAGCAAUGAUGGUCUGAGUGUUUCAUGUACAGAGGCCUGUGCAAUAAUAACAGGACUCCAUUUGGAUUGCAAGAACGUGGAUCUCUGUUA